rnacentral:rRNA from 1 species
GAUGAACGCUGGCGGCGUGCUUAACACAUGCAAGUCGAACGGAAAGGCCCAAGCUUGCUUGGGUACUCGAGUGGCGAACGGGUGAGUAACACGUGGGUGAUCUGCCCUGCACUUCGGGAUAAGCCUGGGGAACUGGGCCUAAUACCGGAUAGGACCACAUUUUGGAUGGUGUGGUGGAAAGUUUUUCGGUGUGGGGUGAGCUCGCGGCCUAUCAGCUUGUUGGGGGGGUAAUGGCCUACCAAGGCGUCGACGGGUAGCCGGCCUGAGAGGGUGGACGGCCACAUUGGGACUGUGAUACGGCCCGGACCCCUACGGGAGGCAGCAGUGGGGAAUAUUGCACUAUGGGCGCAAGCCUGAUGCAGCGACGCCGCGUUGUGGAUGAUGGCCUUCGUGUUGUAAACUCCUUUCGCUAGGGUCGAAGCGCAAGUGACGGUACCUGGAGAAGAAGCACCGGCUAACUACGUG